rnacentral:misc_RNA from 1 species
AAGUCGUAACAAGGUCUUCGUAGGUGAACCUGCGGAGGGAUCAUUGAUGAAAUUAAACAAGGCCUAGGCAUGCUUUUACAGUAGUGUCUAAGGUUUUCAUCCCACACACCCCUGUGCACCCUUUUUUGUUGUGUUCUCGAGUGGCAACGGCGAAACGGCUCUCUUUCGGGAGGGUUUGGAUUAGCUGGCGUUGUUUUGGGGGCGCGGCGGAAACGCUUGUGAAUGUAAACAGUCAUGGAGUUAUACUUUUCCUUUAUUGGAAUACGUCUUAA